UAAAACCCUUAACAAUGUUGAGCCCGGCCCUGGAUGCACCCAGGCCUACCAGUAGCUAUGGAGAUGUGUUCAUCGUUUAUCAUGAAUCAUGUGUGCCGACGUAUAUUCUGCAUAGGCAAGAAAGUGAUGAUGGAUGAUAAUAAAAUGCAAAGUUGACAUUCCCUUAACACGUAAUACUGAUCCCUAUCAUACUGGAAUUUUUCUCUUCAUGCAUAUAUCCAUAUCAGUCCCUAUAACUCGAGCAUCAUCUCAUUUACAUCUCUUAUCCAGAGUUUAACUUUCCAAAAUAAGAUUCUUCCUUUUUGCCCCCAUCGUUAAACCCAAUGUACAAACUAAAGAACAAGAGCUUGCCUGCCCCCACAUCUCAUAGAGCAAUCCAGUAUAGACUCGUUAUAAAACAUGGACAUUUUCUAACUUUAUUUAAUUGAGAUUGUAUGUAAAAGACCAUAAAACCGUAGGAAAGUUGAGUUAUUUACGAGUUAUACCUAGUUGUACCGAAAUUGAAUCCGACCUAAUUGAAACCGCGACCCAAACUAAACCCAAACCGUAAAUCAUUCAUAAACCAAAGAAAACCUAGACCUAUUCCACCCAGACCUAAUU
rnacentral:lncRNA from 1 species